rnacentral:rRNA from 1 species
UACCAGCACCCCGAGUGGUCGGGACGAUUAUUGGGCCUAAAGCAUCCGUAGCCGGUCCUGCAAGUCUUCCGUUAAAUCCAGCUGCUUAACAGAUGGGCCGCAGGAGAUACUACAGGGCUAGGAGGCGGGAGAGGCAAGCGGUACUUUAUGGGUAGGGGUAAAAUCCGCUGAUCCAUAGAAGACCACCAGUGGCGAAGGCGGCUUGCCAGAACGCGCUCGACGGUGAGGGAUGAAAGCUGGGGGAGCAAACCGG